rnacentral:lncRNA from 1 species
GUCUAUCUAUCGUAUAUAGACUUUAAGGGCGUGGUUGCCUAACCAUCGAGGUGAAGUCGGGACCUAAAAGAUCGAAUGGAACAAUAUAUAGGCAAGUAAAUCCCUUAUGCGUUCCAAGGCAUUCCUUUAAUUAUUAAGAGUUAAGGGAUUUAUCAUUCAAAGGGAAGUAGACUACUCAAGAAUUUUCUAUUUUAUUUGUUGGAAUUGAAUUUGAAUNNNN